rnacentral:rRNA from 1 species
CAGUCGCCGCGGUAAUUCGAAGGGUGCAAGCGUUAAUCGGAAUUACUGGGCGUAAAGCGUGCGUAGGCGGUGAGUUAAGUCCGUUGUGAAAGCCCUGGGCUCAACCUGGGAAUUGCAGUGGAUACUGGGUCACUAGAGUGUGGUAGAGGAUAGUGGAAUUUCCGGUGUAGCAGUGAAAUGCGUAGAGAUCGGAAGGAACAUCUGUGGCGAAGGCGACUAUCUGGGCCAACACUGACACUGAGGCACGAAAGCGUGGGGAGCAAACAGGAUUAGAUACCCCGGUAGUCCCUGUCUCUUAUAC